rnacentral:pre_miRNA from 1 species
AGUUCGAUAGCUGGGUCAAAUGGUGAUUCCAUUCCAAGUUUUCUGAGGAAUCUCCAUACUGCUUUCCAGAGUGAUUGCACCAAUUGCAGCUCCACCAGCAAU